rnacentral:lncRNA from 10 species
UCAGGAGAGAGAAUGUUGGUUCAAAUCUAAGAUGCAGAGCAGAUUGGUUAAGGACUAAGUUAGUUGAUCAUUUCCUAAGACAAGACUAGGACUAGCAGCAAAGGUGGUAUGGAUACUAUCAAGAUGAGAGGAGAAGUGGACAAACUGAAAACUAGUUCAAGGUCUAACUUUACAAACAUGACCUACCCACUGUGGCAUCCCUCUUACGCUUAGCCUGAUGUGCUUUGGUAGAGGAAGCACCACCCAUAUGAGUCUGCAUUUGCCAAAGGUGCCUUAGAAGAAAGGGAAAGAACUGGAACAGGUCAGCAAGUCCCAUGCUAAUGGGACUCAUGUCAAGCUGGGUCAAGUUGGGGUGUAGAUCUCUCAUUGAGAGCUAAAGCAUGGCGCUAAAAUAAGGGAAAGCAGAGACAUAGAAAACAAUCAAAUCUGAAGAAACCAGAGGAUGGAGAUGGAGGCUGUAGAACAAGGUGGGAAUGGAAGCUGGUGGAGAACAAUAAGGUCCUGCUGAGGAUCCCUGGUGCCCAGUAGGGAACACCGUGAGGAGGAGGAUUAAGAAAGGCACCCUUUCCACUGAUUUGCAUCGCCAUUUGUACAUGGAGUUUGGCUACAGCAAAAUCCGUUGCUAUCUCACCAGCUACAAGAAGCAAAGAACGAAUUGCAAUUCAUUUUUGUGCUCUAGGACCCGGUUGAGGAACACACCCUUCAAAGUGCUAAUGCUGUUCCAGCUCAGCAGACACCUCGUCUCGGGAAAGCCAUUAGAAACCCCCAAAAUACUACAUUUUUCUCCUGGAAUGAAGCAUCCACACAGUCCAUCCAAGCAUACUGUGAAUCAAAACACAUGUCAUAGCUGGAACGAAAGCAUUAGGACCAUCUAACUGGAUUCCACUGGAAUGAGUCUCUGUGAAACCAUGCCGAAGUCUUUGUAAACAACCACCCUAAAGAAAGCUACAUGAAGAAUAGCCAAUAACAAAAGCACUGGAUUUAACUCAAUUUUGUGAAAAAACAAAAAAAACAAAUAUGAUGCACACACUCUAUCCUUUUGUGAACAAAAUGCCACCAAACAUUUGAAACUGGCCUAAGCAUACAUUGACAUGUUUGACAUGAAGCCCAGCCUUAUUGAUCAGCCUUUCCAAUACCCCCCGCCCCCCAUUCUUUAUUCCCAAUAGAUACAUCUUCUCACAGUUUCCAUGGCAAGAGGAAAAUAAAAGGCAACUGUUUUGAAAGCAACAACAGUAAACGAAGCAACAUCUCUGGCAAGCAGGCAAACCUUAAAGAGUAAAAGUUAUAAAUCCCCAUGUAGACAAUACCUUGUAGGUAUACCUUCCCCCAACCACGGGGAUGACUCUUAAUGGUGCUGACUAGGUAUAGACACCAACUUGGGACCAGUAAGUUAUUCUUAGAAGGUGCUAACUUUUGUAUUUUCUUUUAGGUUCUUGCUGCUAUGUUUCUCUUUCAAUUGACUUCCAGAAAUCAGACAGUGAAAUCAAUGGGGCUUUCCAGGCCACUGAAUUCAAAGUAAUCAGGGCAGGGUCAGAAUGCUGAUUGACUGUUUUCAACACACAGGGACCUGGAAUUUGGGUUCUAGCUCUAUCCCUCAGCACAGAGUCAGCAGACACAAUGCCCUAGAUGGUUGGAUUUUCUAGUGUCUGUGACAGGCAUCUUCAAAGCUGAUUCCUCUCCCUCUGAGAAAUCAAGGCCACCACCUUUAACUACUGACACAGUAGUGUACUUCCCGUACUGCAACCUCAGUCCCUUUUGUCACUUUUGCUUUGCAUUCAAGUGCCUUGGCCAGUGUUAACUGCAGCACUUUGAUUUCUCUUUCUAUAAAGACUAUCAAGUACCAAGUCAUUUGUUUCUGCAACCAUGUAACCCAAGGACAUAUUCUCCUGGAUGAAAUUCCAAGACCCCCCCCGCCACCAGAAGUCAGUGGAGAAUAGGCACAGAAAAGAUGAUGAAGGUCAUAGUUUCUAAUAAUUUGUUUUCUUUUUAAAAAAAAUUUUUAAUUUUUAUUUUUUUGAGACAGAAUCUCACUCCGUCACCCAGGCUGGGGUAUGGUGGCAUGAUCUCGGCUCACAGCAACCUCUGCCUUCCAGGUUUAAGUGAUUCUCCUGCCUCAGCCUCCUGAGUAGCUGGGAUUACAGCCGCAUGCCACCACGCCCAGCUAAUCGUUUGUAUUUUUAGUAGACACGGGGUUUCACCAUGUUGGCCAGACUGGUCUCGAACUCCUGACCUCAAGCGAUCUACCUGCCUUGGCCUUCCAGAGUGCUGGGAUUACAGGCAUGAGCCACCAAGCCCA